rnacentral:rRNA from 1 species
GAUGAACGCUAGCGGCAGGCCUAAUACAUGCAAGUCGAACGGGAUUAAGGAGCUUGCCUCUUAUGAGAGUGGCGCACGGGUGCGUAACACGUAUGCAACCUACCUUCAACUGGGGGAUAGCCUUCCGAAAGGGAGAUUAAUACCGCAUAACAUAAUUGAGUGGCAUCACUUGAUUAUCAAACGUCAGGGUUGAAGAUGGGGAUGCGUCCGAUUAGUUAGUUGGUGAGGUGACGGUUCACCAAGGCAAGGAUUGGUAGGGGAACUGAGAGGUCAAGCCCCCACACUGGCACUGAGAUACGGGCCAGACUCCUACGGGAGGCAGCAGUAGGGAAUAUUGGGCAAUGGACGCAAGUCUGACCCAGCCAUGCCGCGUGCAGGAUGAAGGCGUUAUGCGUUGUAAACUGCUUUUAUACAGGAAGAAACGACUCUUGCGAGAGGCAUUGACGGUACUGUAUGAAUAAGCACCGGCUAACUCCGUGCCAGCAGCCGCCGUAACAC